CUUUGAUAUUUGACAUUAAACAUCGUCUGGAAUACCUCUACCAAUAUUGUUCAAAUUAUGCCUUUAAGGGUAAAAAUUGGCCCAACCCUGAAGGCAAAUAUGUUUUCCUAUAUGUAUAUUGUAAAAACUUCUUCCCUGAAACCACAAUGCCAAGAGCUUGGAUAUUUGCUUUCAAACAUGGGCUGAUGGACCCUUACAAUAUGUAAUUUGUAAAACAGUAUGAGAUACAUGUAUAAUAAUAAAAUACAAAAUUGAGGUGUAAUUUGUAUAAUUCAAGGUACAGAUAAAAAAGCGGAAAACUGGAGACGAAGCUUCUGACCUCAGGGUUGCCAAAAAGAAGAAUGAUAACACUUCUGGUGGGAAAGGGUUUGGCAAAAGGAAGAGAAGAUUUAUAUAUGACACAACACUGUGCAGAUCACGACUGGU